GUCUCCCAGAUUUCUCUUUGCUUUGCUUCCGACUCACAGCCUGGCUGUUCCUGGGCAGUUUGUCACUAGAGCCUUCCCUAUGGUUCCAAGGACAGAGCAGGGAUCUCUGCCUCCUCUCUUACUCUCCUCGGCUCUAACUGGCUCCCCUUUUUACAGAAGGCAUAUAAAAGAGAGUACCAUGAAACCCUCUCUCAUAUGGUAGCUCUCAACCCGCUGCUUCCACAAACUCGAGCCAAAGCUCCUACCCCAUCCCGCCCCUUCUCAGGCAUACCUUCUCUGCAUCUUCUCACUUUUGUGUACCUUGGGUCAUCCCAUCCCCCAGUGUCCUCACUUCUCACAUCCUCCUGUUUGGCCAUCAUGACCCUUUCCAGUCGGAUCCGGAUCCACAGAUCUUUCUUCCGCAGAUCCUUUCCCUUACCAGACUCCACACUCAGCCAGCCUCCCCCUUCAGACUAUCUACUCAGAUGCCUCCCCCGUCAGAUUUCCAAUUCUUCAGGCAAACUCCUAGUCACACCCACUGUGAUCUCCUCUGACACUCUUCGGAUUCGCGAUCCUCUCAGACGCCUCCUCCAUCAGACCAGCUAUUCCCUCAAAUACCUCUCAAGUCCUGAUCCCCUCAAGACUGAUCCUCCUCCGACCAGAUGCCCUCACCCCGAGCCUCCUCCAUCGCACCACAUUGCCUUAACCUGAGCGCGCGCCUUGCCUUUACCUGCAGCCUUCGGGAGGCACUGAUCGUAGUCUGCUGGACGAAGGGGUUGGGCACCGGCGGCGGGAAGAAGGACGCCUGGCGAGGUACCAUGGGUGGCCGCAGCCCGGCGUCCCCGACGCCCGAACCCGGGACCGUAGCCGCCACAGCGGCCGCCUCGGCGCAUCGGUUCAUGAUGGAUCCAGGUGCCCGACCCGAGCAAAGCGGGGACCCGAAGAGAGCGGCCGAAUUCACAGUCCCAACCUCAGAACCAGAGACUCCCAGCCCCAGGCGCCGCUCCCGGCUUCUGCGCAGGCGCCAGAGUCACCUAGCCACUAGCUGCCCCGCCCUCCGGGACGCACCCCGGGCUCUGGCCCCGCCCCCUAGGAACCUGCUUUUGGAACACACCUCUUGGAUCCCAAUCUACCGACUCUCUGAUCCCGACCAACCACUUUCCUCUGGGCCCUGCUGCCUCUCCUCGGGAAGUCUGUCCAGGUGAUCCUUUAAUGGCUCUUAGAAGAGGAGCAGGUGUGGCUGCUGGGGCUGUCUUUCUCGGAAACUGAACUGCUAUUUGGAAAAGGCAAAAGCAGCUGGCUCCCACCGGGGAUGAGGAACCGGACCCACAGAAGAGACGUGAUUGACGCAAUCGUUAGGAUCCGCUCUCAGUGUAAAAGAAACAAAUGGUUAAAGGGAAAGUAAACCUCCAACAGACCCCAUACCUACAGCAAGGGAAUUGCUGCU
rnacentral:lncRNA from 1 species